CCUACGGGGGGCAGCAGUGGGGAAUAUUGCACAAUGGGGGAAACCCUGAUGCAGCGACGCCGCGUGAGUGAAGAAGUAUCUCGGUACGUAAAGCUCUAUCAGCAGGGAAGAAAAUGACGGUACCUGACUAAGAAGCCCCGGCUAACUACGUGCCAGCAGCCGCGGUAAUACGUAGGGGGCAAGCGUUAUCCGGAUUUACUGGGUGUAAAGGGAGCGUAGACGGCGUCGCAAGUCUGAAGUGAAAGCCCGUGGCUCAACCGCGGAACCGCUUUGGAAACUGCGUGGCUGGAGUGCUGGAGAGGUAA
rnacentral:rRNA from 1 species